rnacentral:lncRNA from 1 species
ACACAGAUCUGAUGUCAUCCCCGGGAGAAAAGCUUGUGAGCUCACCUAAAGAAAAGGGGGAUCUUAGAACUCACACACCGAGAACUGUCAGAUAACACGGGCUAGAGAUCAAGCCGCGGCAGCUGCCUUCCACAGCUGCCGCCUUGCAGCUGCCUCUCUAAGCAGUUAGUGGGGCUAAAAAUAACCAGGAGCUAAGGCGCAGCAAGCUACCAAGCCUUAGAAAGAAGUGUGGGGAAGGAGAUUGCGGAUGGCAGUCUGGGGCCUCUGAGUGGAUGUCAGAGGGAUACCCACCCGCGGGCGGCAUCAAAGGCCGUCAGCACUCCAUGUGUCUGGGUAUAUCAAACCUCCUGCUGCCACUUCACAACUGGUAGCCCAAGCUAUUGCCUACUGACUGCAUCUCGUUUCUAAUCUCAGCUGUAAUCCAAGUCGCCUUGAUGCCUCAGGGAAACAAAAGUAACAAAGUAGGAAUGAACAGCUUCCUGUUUGUACUCUAAACCUGAACCAAUGGCCUGAGCAGCAAGUGUGCAGGGCCGGGAUACUCUGCAGAGGAUGGCCCUGGAGGUCUAGCUGGUCAUGAGACUGACAGGACUGACUCCUUACAGACCUGUGGGUUUCCUGUGGACUCUUGCUGUGGCUCUCGUGUACUCUCAUUACAGGGUCCUCUCUGUAACGUAGGCUAACCUUGAACUCCUCAUCCUACCUGCCUCCAGUUCCCUAGUACUGGGACCACAGGCAUGCCCCACUCCAGCCAACUCAAGGCAUAGUUAUCUAUGAAAUAAAGCUGUUGGAUUAU